rnacentral:lncRNA from 1 species
UACAGUUUACACGUUUAAAUUAAAUUAAACAAUUAUAAUAACAAGAAGGAUUAAAAUAUUACAAUAAGAUUUUCGUACUACAUCAUCGUUAAAAACAUUUCAUCCUUAAGAUAAAAUCAAUUCCUACAAAAUAUCACAAAAAGCACAAAAGAAAAAAAAGGGAAGAGUAGAGAAAAUAUCUUCACAAUGUAUUUGUUUCCUUCACAUGAAAGCAUCUCAUUUUUUACACAUUUUUUCUCCCUUCAUUUCACACCAUUCUAACAACCUCACAAUUUUAAAUUCCAACUCACCAUUCCAGCACACACAAGAUGACAAAAAUGAAACCAAUCAUAAUCCUAAAAUCACUAUAAAAAGAAUGUAACAUUGGAAAUAAUGCGAAAAAACGCAUCAUACCAUCAUCAUCUUCAUACAUUUUCCUUCAAUCUUUAUUGAUAUUCAUCACACGAAUCAUCACCUUCAACAUAAACCUUCACACUACACAAUCAUCACCACUUUCCAUCUUCUUCUUCCACACUCACCAUUAACCACAACAUCAACAAUCCAAUUUCACCUAUGCUUCUUCUUCAAACCAUCAACAACAGUCAACAUAUCGCAACAAAAAAUCCACAACAAAAAUAGCAACUCGUAAAACAAUACAAACACGAAAAUAGAGAUAAAGGAAUGAAGGAAAGCAUCUAAACCAAAAAUGUGAAAAUAAUCACUUUCCAGCCACCACAAUUUCCAGUUUCAGACCCCCUUUCAUUCUCAAACCAUACGAACGCCGUUAAUAUAGAUCCGACCAUAUCACUUUCCAACACAUCCUCGUGUUGUUCCCGAUUCAGCAGCCGUAACACUUCUGAGAACCACCAUGCAUCCUUUCCCAUCACCAAUGCCUUCACACACCUUAAGUCGCCACCACGACCUCCACACGAACAUUGAGUUUCCAUUUGAACCACCACCACAGAUCCAUCGGUAUUUCACUCUUCAUCUUAGAUUUUUUACUUUGAAUCUUGAUUCAAUUUGUUGUUGUUGUUGUUUUUCGUUUUUCUUGAAAAUAAAUCUGAGUGAGAAAACAAGAGAGUGAAUCGAGAGCACCGUUUGUAGUUGUUGUUCUAGAGAGUCACCGAGAGAGAAGAAGUAUUAAUCAAGGGAUGAGAUGAACAUUGAGAGAUUAUGAAAAUUUGUGUUUGAAAGUAAAGAAGAUGGCGACUUAAUUGUUAGACUAUGGUCGGUAACACCCAAAAAAUAGUUGUAAACUUUACAGCUCAUAUUAAUAAAUAAAAAAUUUGUUUGAUAACUCUCAUUUAACUUUUAUUUU